GAUGAACGCUGGCGGCGUGCCUAAUACAUGCAAGUCGAGCGAACAGACGAGGAGCUUGCUCCUCUGACGUUAGCGGCGGACGGGUGAGUAACACGUGGAUAACCUACCUAUAAGACUGGGAUAACUUCGGGAAACCGGAGCUAAUACCGGAUAAUAUCUUGAACCGCAUGGUUCAAUAGUGAAAGACGGUUUUGCUGUCACUUAUAGAUGGAUCCGCGCCGCAUUAGCUAGUUGGUAAGGUAACGGCUUACCAAGGCAACGAUGCGUAGCCGAGCUGAGAGGGUGAUAGGCCACCCUGGAACGUGGACACGGUCCAGGCUCCUACGGGAGGCAGCAGUAGGGAAUCUGCCGCAAUAGGCGAAAGCCUGACGGAGCAACGCCGCGUGAGUGAUGAAGGUCUUCGGAUCGUAAAACUCUGUUAUUAGGGAAGAACAGAUGUGUAAGUAACUAUGCACGUCUUGACGGUACCUAAUCAGAAAGCCACGGCUAACUACGUG
rnacentral:rRNA from 1 species